rnacentral:rRNA from 1 species
AUUGAACGCUGGCGGCAGGCCUAACACAUGCACGUCUUGCGGAUGAAGGAAGUUUGCUCCUGGAUUCAGCUGCGGACGGGCGCGUAAUGCCUAGGAAUCUGCCGGGUAGAGGGUGAUAACGUCCGGAAACGGGCGCUAAUACCGCAUACGUCCCGAUCGAGCAGGUCGUGGAUCUUCGUACCUCACGCUCUCAGAUGAGCCUAGGUCUGGUUAGCUAGUUGGUGGGGUAAAGGCCUGCCAUGGCGACUAUCCGUAGCUGGUCUGCGGGGUGGACCCGUCACAGUGGAACUGAGACGCGGUCCAGGCUCCUGCAGGAGGCAGCAGCGGGGAAUAUUGGACAAUGGGCGAAAGCCUGAUCCAGCCAUGCCGGGAGUGAGAGGAAGGUCUUCGGAAUGUAAAACUCUUUAAGUUGGGAGGAGGGGCAGUAAGCUAAUACCUUGCUGUAUUGACGUUACCAAAAGAAUAAGCACCGGCUAACUUCGUG